rnacentral:rRNA from 1 species
AACGAACGCUGGCGGCAGGCUUAACACAUGCAAGUCGAACGCCCCGCAAGGGGAGUGGCAGACGGGUGAGUAACGCGUGGGAACAUACUCUUUCCUGCGGAAUAGCUCUGGGAAACUGGAAUUAAUACCGCAUACGACCUACGGGGGAAAGAUUUAUCGGGGAAGUAUUGGCCCGCGUUGGAUUAACUAGUUGGUGGGGUAGAGGCUUACCAAGGCGACGAUCCAUAGCUGGUCUGAGAGGAUGAUCAGCCACAUUGGGACUGAGACACGGACCAGUCUCCAACGGGAGGCAACAGUGGUGAGUAUUGGACAAGGGUCACUAGCCUGUUCCAGCCAUGCCGCGUGAGUGAUGAAAGCCUUAUGGUUGUAAAUCUCUUUCACCUAUGAAGAUAAUGACGGUAGUCGGAGAAGAAGCCCCGGCUAACUUCGUGCCAGCCGCCGCAGUAAGAC